UGGGGAAUUUUGGACAAUGGGGGAAACCCUGAUCCAGCCAUCCCGCGUGUGCGAUGAAGGCCUUCGGGUUGUAAAGCACUUUUGGCAGGAAAGAAACGUCAUGGGUUAAUACCCCGUGAAACUGACGGUACCUGCAGAAUAAGCACCGGCUAACUACGUGCCAGCAGCCGCGGUAGUACGUAGGGUGCAAGCGUUAAUCGGAAUUACUGGGCGUAAAGCGUGCGCAGGCGGUUCGGAAAGAAAGAUGUGAAAUCCCAGAGCUUAACUUUGGAACUGCAUUUUUAACUACCGGGCUAGAGUGUGUCAGAGGGAGGUGGAAUUCCGCGUGUAGCAGUGAAAUGCGUAGAUAUGCGGAGGAACACCGAUGGCGAAGGCAGCCUCCUGGGAUAACACUGACGCUCAUGCACGAAAGCGUGGGGAGCAAACA
rnacentral:rRNA from 1 species